rnacentral:misc_RNA from 1 species
GGUUCUUGGUCACGCUGAUGGAAUCUGCCAUGUUUAUGUCGACAAGUCUGCUGAUUUGGAAAUGGCAAAGAGAAUUGUACUGGAUGCUAAAGUAGAUUAUCCAGCAGCCUGUAAUGCAAUGGAAACACUUCUUGUUCACAAAGACUUGGUCCAGACGGGUGGGCUGAAUGAGCUUGUUGUAAAUCUCCGCAUUGAAGGUGUUAUUUUGAAUGGUGGACCAAAGGCGAGCUCUCUGUUGAAUAUCCCUGAGGCACGAACGUUUCAUCAC